rnacentral:rRNA from 1 species
UCUUUUAUAAAGGAAUAAAGUCGGGUAUGCAUACCCGUUUGCAUGUACUUUAUGAAUAAGGAUCGGCUAACUCCGUGCCAGCAGCCGCGGUAAUACGGAGGAUCCGAGCGUCAUCCGGAUUUAUUGGGUUUAAAGGGAGCGUAGAUGGAUGUUUAAGUCAGUUGUGAAAGUUUGCGGCUCAACCGUAAAAUUGCAGUUGAUACUGGAUGUCUUGAGUGCAGUUGAGGCAGGCGGAAUUCGUGGUGUAGCGGUGAAAUGCUUAGAUAUCACGAAGAACUCCGAUUGCGAAGGCAGCCUGCUAAGCUGCAACUGACAUUGAGGCUCGAAAGUGUGGGUAUCAAACAGGAUUAGAUACCCUGGUAGUCCACACGGUAAACGAUGAAUACUCGCUGUUUGCGAUAUACGGCAAGCGGCCAAGCGAAAGCGUUAAGUAUUCCACCUGGGGAGUACG